rnacentral:lncRNA from 1 species
CUAGGAGCUCUAUGUCCUCAUGGGCAUAAACCCAACUGGUUUGUCCCACUGGUGGGGGCGUGGGUUGGUCUGGGCUAUUUAAGGGCAAGAUUUGUUUGCUCAUGGCCGCUUCUCUCGCCGUGGCAUCGGCCAGCCGGUUUCCUCGUGCCUCUGGGUUGUGCCCUUUCUGGUGUCCUGGACAAUACAUAAUACUCAGUCUUUUGGGCAAGAAUAGAGCUUCUAAGAGGGCCAGAAUUUUAGCCUUAUUUUUAAUAUCUUUACCCUCAGAUGUGAGCAGCCCCCGCCUCCGGUAGAUCUCCCCGUGGAUGUGUACCGUGGCAAAGGCAUAACGGCUGUCUGUAUAUAUAUUUAGCCUCUUACCUUUUGUCAUCUUGAGCGCCUGAGUCAAGGCGAUGAGUUCAGCCCGUUGUGCGGAGGUACCAGCAGGCAGGGCUUUCGCCCAAAUCACUUUGUCCUCCGUAGUGACCGCAGCUCCAGCCUUUUACUCUCCCUCUGCCAAGAAGCUGUUGUCAUCCGUGUACCAUGUGUGGUCAGCAUUCUGAAGAGGCUGGUCCGAUAGGUCCGGCCUGGUUCCAUGUACUUCUGCGAGGAUUUGUAGGCAGUCAUGCUGUUUUGCCUCCUCUGGUAGAGGAAGCAAGGUGGCAGGAUUGAGAGCGACUACGGGCCCAAACUGAACCCGUUCUGUAUCCAGUAACAAGGCUUGGUGCGAGAAUUAGAGAGCCAGCGGUCUGGGGGCUGCUUUAUCAAGGCCUCCACUGCGUGGGGUGUUAGGAUGGUGAGUGGCUGUCCCAAAGUCAAUUUUCCAGUGUCCUUGAUCAGGACAGCAAUAGCAGCCACCAUCCUUAGGCACGGUGGCCAGCCGGAGGCCACAGGGUCCAAUUUCUUAGACAGGUAGGCCACAGGGCGUUUUCAGGGUCCCAACCUUUGUGUUAGGACCCCUUUAGCAUACCCCUGUUUCUCAUCGAUGAACAGUUACUGAGCAAAUUGUAAGGGUUUGGAACAGUCGGAUGAAUAUCUUCUAUCCUCUUGUUGACCUUUCUCAAGUCUUGUAC